CACUUUAUUAAUUGAAUAACAUUAUAGUAUUACAUUUUUUUUUUACAAUAUAAAAUAAACAAAAUGUCAACAACUUGAUCUAAACUCUUCAAAAGUUCAAGCUCUAUUGUGUAGUGUCCUCAGAAUAAAAAAAACAAGGGAAAAGCCAAUUUAAUAAAAUUCACCCUAUCUUCAUGAAACAACUGAAAUGAAUGCAUACUCAAUCCAUUAUAUCAACUAGGAAUGAUAUUUACUGCAUCCUGAGCACCACCAGCCUAGCCUGUUACAUCAAAAGCAAGCAAACUUAUCAUUAGCAUGCUCUCUUCUUUAAUUGGGUAAGAAAAGGACAUUUGGAUACAAAGUUUAGCGAAGGAUAAAGAAGUAUGAGUGCAAACCCUUGUGUGUAUGAAAUAGUACCCAGAAAAAUACUGAAAUAAAAAAAUAAGGUGAAAAUUAUAUAUCACCUGGAUAUUAAAAUAUCAACAUGCUUAUGAGCAAAUAGAGCAAAUUUCAGAGCAGUGAGAACCUCAAGUUUUUUCAUUAAUUAAUUAAGGAAAAUAAAGGAGUGCAAAAGAUAAUAGCACAUGUACAAAUUGCAAUGCUUUACCAAAUUAUUACAUUGUAAGCCUGCAAACUUGAAACCUUUCUAUUGAAGAGACACAGACAUGUUGCAUAUUAUGCACAAUCUCUGCCUGAAAUUACCAUGAAUGGUUCCAGAAAAGAAACCUCAAACUAUGGUUAAGGUUAUAGCUACUGGUCAGACCACAAACCUACAAUAAUUAGUAUUUAAUGCUUCCCCAAAAAAACAAAAAAAAAAACCUAAAAAAUGCUGCUACAUACUCUGAAUCCAAGUUUGCUUUUAUUUCUCUAUAUUUGCCUUUGAAAAUCUUAAUUAUAAUGCUUAUUCCGUCAACAUCUACUCAAUAAAGAACAAUAAAGAAGUAAAAAUAAAGAACCCAUCACUUUCCAAAUCCAAAAAUUUUCUCACUUUCUCACCAACAAAACAUCCUUUUUCUUUCUCUCAAAACCUCAUCUUCCCACUCAAACUCACUCAAUUUCAACUCAAAUUCCACCAAAAUUUACCUUUAAUUUGAAGAUGAGGCAGCUAAUUCGCCGUCUUUCUCGCGUCGCCGACUCCUCGUAGUACAGUCUCCGUGCUUGAACUUGAAGAAAGUAGCAGCAGCUCGAACUUGAAUAACAUCGGCAGCAGCAGCUCGAAAAUCGGUAGUUCGAUUACCACCACCUACUUAGCAAAAAUAAAAGCUGGAGCUAAUUCCUCACAAAAAGAAAAAAGUAAAAACCCACAUCCAAUUUCACCAAACAUAAGUAAACCCAGAAAAGAUUUAAAGAAAUUAAGAAAGAACAAUUGUUCACUAAAAUAAAAGAAAAUUAAAAGCUUACCAUACAAUGGGCGGGCAAGUGACAGAUCCGGGAGAGCAAAGACGGAGCAGCAGCAGCUAGACGGAGUCGUAGCAGCAGCGGUUACGGCGGAGACAGAGCAGCGGCAGUGGCUAGCACACCAAGAGCGACCAAGAGAGAGUGGAUUGGGAGAGAAAGAUGUUGGAUGAAGAUAAGGGGAGGGAGAGAGUGUAGAUUUACUGCAACUGGAUCUAGAAAAGUGAGGGGAAAGAGAGAGUUGCAGUGAACUGGAUUGAGAAAAGUGAGGGCUGCAGUGAAGAGAAAAGGAGGACGAGGGUCACGAUUUUCUUUUGUUUUUUAAUUCAUUUUUAGGUUUAGUUUGUGAUAUUUGAAGAACAUGUUUAAGUUGUUUUCAGUUGAGUAGUUAUAAUAAUGAAUCCGGAUUUUGUGUUUUGUAAUCUGUUUUUUGAAAUUAAUUGGCCGAACGUGUAUUAUAUGUGGAUUAUGAAAAAGAAAAUGAAAAUGUUGCGUGGAAAAGGG
rnacentral:lncRNA from 1 species